UUCAAAAUUGCUUUCCUUUCCUAUUCUCAAGUUCCUAGGUCCAAUGCCAGUAACACCUGGUUUCCAGCUUGGAAGGGGAAUAUUUCCAAUAAAGCCCAGAUAUUUUCAUCCGGUUUGUAUGAUUGAAUGAAAGCAUUUCUAAUUCCCAUGGGGAUGCAACCUCUCACAGAAGAUGCUUUUCAUUGUAGCCCAGGGAGAAAGCUGCAUAGAAACUACUUGACAGUAUUCUUAUGUGUCGGUAACAUCAGAUUUCCAAGAAACAACAGGUUUUCAGAUUUAUUAUUCACCUCUCAUGAAGAAACUCAAGGAUACCUAAACCUAAAAGGUUUUUUAUUUGACAUCUUUCUUUCAAGGCAACAGCUCUGCUGCAGUCUGGUUAGUACGCACAUGCUUAUUAGUGGUAGCUUUUGGUGAAAACAUGGUUAUCAAAAAGGCUGAUAUAUAGUGAAGAGCAGCUGCUCCAAAUCACCAACUAUUCAUAAAUAGCUUUCCCCCCCCGACUAGAGUGAGGCCCUCUAUUCUCAAGUUAUAACACUCAGCAGAAAAUUAAGACCCUGUAGGAUGAUAAAUAGUUGAGAAAAUAUUUCUCCCUUGUGUUUGAAUGUUGUCUUGUAACGCAGUGCACUUUCACUGAACCAGAAUUUGUCUGUCAUAAAAAGAUAUUGGGGAAAAUGUUUAGAUUCUCCUUGAAUCCUAGAACUUAGAAGGAAUGUUCUGGUUUCACUGUUAAAAGGUUAAUCGCUGAGUCUAUGUCAUAGGCUUCAUUCUGUACAAUGAGAGUUUCUGGUCCUAUGUCCCCAGUAAGCAGUUACAGUUUUUAACGCAUAAAAGCAGGAGAUUUUUUUCUCCCUAAUUUAAAAUAACAGUCAUAUAAAUUUCUUGGCAAUCAGCAUGUGAUGGCUUCUAAAAAUCCUGUAAUUGUGUCAUUUUUUUAAAGUCAUCAAAAAAGGAAAGAUCACUUCUUUCAGCUGCCUUUUGGUGUAAAACUAUCUUUUCUAUAUAUACAGGGAGUAACUGCUAUUGCUCCUGGUAAUUAUGCUGAUAUAUUUUCUGAUUAUUAUCUUUUUAUACAUUAUAUUGAUCAUAUUCCUAGAGGUACUCUGAACUUGCAGUGUCCUUCCUUAUAAAAGGAAAUGAAGGCAUCACAGAAAUAAUUUCAGAAUUUUCCCAGGACCUGUUGAGAUGGAAGUGAACUCGAAAUGAACCAUGAGAGUAAACGGUCAGUUUUAGACUGCAGCGUUUUCCUUGAAUCAGCUUGGUUCUGCUGCAAGUUAACUGAAUGUCAGUCUCCCCUGUAGGUGACUUUUCUCAAACUAUAAGUAAUCAUCAAUAGCUACAGAAGAAGAUCUCAGUUGUAAAUGGCUUGACUGAGUCUAGAAGACAAGACUUCACCCCGACCGACUGAUGUCUCCGAAGUCCCUGAGAGUUUACCUGUUCUUUCAAGUGCACGCACGAAACAGAGGAUGUGGGCUUGUUUUCUGUGGUCUGAGUCUUUCCCAGAACAGAUGAGGCUUUUGCUUAUCUGGGUCGGGAGAGUCCUGAGGACUCCCACCUUGACAUUGCAAUGAAAACUUACCCUUCAAUCUCUAAAUUCUCUCCUGUGGCACAAUAAAUUAGAAAAGCCUGCCGUUCCCUGUGGUAGGCUUAUCGUGUGCCCCACGUUAGAUUCCUAUCCAGAAAUAAUCUCUUCUCUGGUGCAGAAGGACGAUGAUGAGUCCCAGAUGUUUCUGCAAGACAGUCAUCCCCAGACAGAGCAGCUCACAUCAGGGGAACCAGCGGGCAGAGAGCAAUGUGCUUUCUUUCUCUCUCUUUUCCCUUCCUUCCAUUUUCUUCCCUCCCUCCCUUCCCUCUCCUCCUGAUCCUUCUUUCUCUCCAGACAUGCACACACUUACCUCUUUUUCUUUCUUUCUUUUCUAAAGGAUCUAGGAGGUUUGAAGGUUGACUAAUAACCUCGCUUUAUGGAAUAAUUUGCUCCACAUUUCAGUAACUACAACUGGCACUGAGCACUAAAAGGCCACGGCUGGCUGGAGAUAUUUCCAGGUGGCCAACGUGGACAUCCCCCAGGAAGGCAGAGGGGACUGUGGGGCAAGCAGCACCUCAGGGCGGUGGCCCGCAGCCCAUUCCUAGCUCUCCUCACGGCUGGGUUCCUGCAAUUCUAUUUUGGAGAUAAGAGCUGUGGUUGAUUCCUUCCUACGCACUUUAUCCCUUGUUGACUUAAAAAUCACAGGGAAAGCUAACAGAGCUCCCUAGAAAAUUCCAGAAAGUCUCUAGCUGCAUUAGGGAAAGUGAACUUGACGAUAAUGGAACCUCACUUAUUUCUCUAAUACUACGUGGGCACUUUUCAUAGACUGGAGAUGCGGACCGUCAGGAUGAAGUCAUCACCCAGUUGUGCAGAGCACACGGUCCUUACUCAUGGUACAAAUCAAGAAGGACUGUGAGCCCAGCUACAAAUCCAAACCUGUGUAGCUGUGACGCACGUGUGCAGCGGCCCGUUGGUAGAAAGUACUCCCGGCAGGGCUGAUCUCAGGCUGCCAGCAUGAUGUCACGCUGCGGGGUCUGGACGAGAUGGGGGUCAUCUGCCCUUGGGGCCGUGGCCUUGGGCAAGCACUGCUAGGUUCUGCAGUGCUGGGUCCCACGAGCCUGCAAGGCGCGGGAGGAGCAGGGCGGCCGCAGAUGGGCUACAGGGCUUACUGGGGCUGUGGAGUUCAUACAACACUUUUCUAAGUGCAAGGCUGGCUCUCGUAUUGCUCUCAAGCUUCAUCCACCUGGGACGUGCUGGCAUCUAUCUUUCUCAAGGCAUUUCCCAAACUAAACUAGAGAAUGAAUAUAGUAAGGGGGGACAGUGAGUGCACGACAGGGCACCCCCCCACGCUGCUCCACUAGCGCAGACCUGCUGCAUCGCCUUAGCGCUGUAAACACUGCCUUCCUCUCUGCGGUCUCCCUAACUGCAGGGCUGCUGACGGCGGCCGGAGACUGCAUUGCCCCCGGACCUGGGGUGACCUCCCAGCAGUCGGCCUCACCGCUCUUCCAGCCGGCCCCCUGUGCUCCUGUCCUAGCCAGUCGUAGCCUGUUGGGCAGAAGGUCCCUCCAGCCCUGUUGACUUUCUGGAGCCCCGAGGCCCCGGCCACAGCGCCUCCUGCUCUGCACCCAGAUGGCACCCAAGCCUGUCCCGCCUCCACGACACGCUCAAGGUUCCGGACUGUGUGUUCACCCACUGGCCAAGCCAUGCACAGGAAAGUUCUGAUCGCGUGCCUUCAUGCCCACCCCAGAUGUCCGAGACUGGGGAAGCUGAGUGCGGUCUGCCCCCUGCGGCAUGAAGCGCUGAUCUAAGUGUCAGGAUCAAGGCCGGCUCACAUGUCGCAAUCCUUGGCUUUUAAAGAGUAGCUUCAUGAACUGAAGAUCGGAGGUGGGUGGCCUAAGGGGGAAAGUUUG